rnacentral:rRNA from 1 species
GACAUUGGCUCGAUAGCUAUGGCGUACGCCCUAGGCCAGUCUAUGAUCUGAGAGUGUGAUCCCACUGGCAUGAGAUCGGACGAUCCUACGAGCAGCAGUAGCAUAUGCCAUGAAUGCAAGUCUGAUAAGCAUGCGCGGCGAUGAAGUCUCAGGGAUGUAACGCUUUAUCGGGAAGAAGAGCAGGAUGCGUCUGUGUGACGUACGAAUGAAUAAGCACCGGCUAACUCCGUGCCAGCAGCCGCGGUAAUACGGAGGGUGCGAGCGUGUCUGGAUUUAUUGGGUUUAAAGGGUGCGUAGGUGGCUUGUUAAGUCAGUGGUGAAAUACAGCCGCUCAACGGUUGAGGUGCCAUUGAUACUGAUAAGCUUGAAAGAAUUGGAGGCUGCCGGAAUGGAUGGUGUAGCGGUGAAAUGCAUAGAUAUCAUCCAGAACACCGAUUGCGAAGGCAGGUGGCUACGAUUUAUUUGACACUGAGGCACGAAAGCAUGGGGAGCAAACAGGAUUAGAUACCCUGGUAGUCCAUGCCGUAAACGAUGAGGACUCGCUGUUGGCAUUCAAUUGUCAGCGGCUUAGGGAAACCGUUAAGUCCUCCACCUGGGGAGUACGCCGGCAACGGUGAAACUCAAAAGAAUUGACGGGGGCCCGCACAAGUGGUGGAGCAUGUGGUUUAAUUCGAUGAUACGCGAGGAACCUUACCUAGGCUAGAAUGCGCGUGACCGCCUCAGAGAUGAGGCUUUCCUUCGGGACACAAAGCAAGGUGCUGCAUGGCCGUCGUCAGCUCGUGCCGUGAGGUGUUGGGUUAAGUCCCGCAACGAGCGCAACCCCUAUGUUUAGUUGCCAGCGGGUAAUGCCGGGGACUCUAGACAGACUGCCUGCGCAAGCAGUGAGGAAGGCGGGGACGACGUCAGGUCAUCAUGGCCCUUACGCCUAGGGCUACACACGUGCUACAAUGGACGGUACAGCGGGUUGCCAACCAGCGAUGGUGCGCCAAUCCCGAAAAGCCGUUCUCAGUUCGGAUCGGAGUCUGCAACUCGACUCCGUGAAGCUGGAAUCACUAGUAAUCGCGUAUCAGCAAUGACGCGGUGAAUACGUUCCCGGGCCUUGUACACACCGCCCGUCAAGCCAUGAAAGUCUGGUAGACCUGAAGCCGGUGCUCCGCAACGAAGCCGGUUAGGAGAUCUGAUGAAUU